rnacentral:rRNA from 1 species
UACGUAGGGGGCGAGCGUUGUCCGGAGUUACUGGGCGUAAAGCGCACGCAGGCGGUCUGCUAAGUUUGGAGUGGACAGUUGGUGGCUUAACUGCCAAAGUGCUUCGAAAACUGACAGACUUGAGGGCUUCAGAGGGACACGGAAUUCCGGGUGGAGUGGUGAAAUGCGUAGAGAUCCGGAGGAACACCAAAGGCGAAGGCAGUGUCCUGGGGAGUACCUGACGCUCAGGUGCGAAAGCCAGGGGAGCGAACGGG